CCUGUUUGGUAAUCUAUCACUGAAGAACGAAUUCUUUGUCAAUCGCUUGAUUCGUCCUAUUACAGAGGUACAAAGAAGUUGGACUCGACACCAGCGUUUUGACUAGAGUUGAAUAUGGGAGUAGAAGUUCACGAGCUGGCGGCUAAAGGUCCAAUGCUACAGCCUACAGUUGUUACUAGGUACUAUCUUUUUGAAAAUUUGAAUAGAGUUUGAACCUUUGUGGACGCAAAAAAGAUAUGAAAAAGGAAGUUCCUGUGUUGAUCGAUAAGUUUCCAGAAUGUGGGUUGCGUUCUUUGGCUAUUGCAAAACAGGUGUUCAACUUGAUAUUGCUAAGAAGACUGGUAGACGACUUGGUAUGAGACAAACAUGUACCCUUCUUCUUUACUUGGUGGCCACAAGGAUUUAUCUAUAGCAACUUUUUGUAUUCAAGAGUUCAUUGAGAAAGCUCAUGGAUUUUGAUGAAAGCCAAAAGCUCACAUUGAUAUUGAUAUUGCUCAUGCUAUAUAUGAUGCUAUCAUGGUGCAGACAAUAUUUGGUGACAAUGGCGAAUCUCCUAUAUUUGUUGUAAAGUGGUGGAUCUGUUUGAGAGAGGCCACGUAUAUAUAUAUUUUUUAGUUUUUGAAUAUUUGCUCUGCAAUUAAAUAGUCAAUAUUACUAUUUUUAUACUAUUUUGGUAUUCACGCUCGGUUGGGAAAACAUAUGUAUUGUUAUUAGAUUGAGAAUCGUUUAUAUUGAAGCCCACACACACUA